GCCCCAGUGGCCAAGUGGAUAAGGCACAGGCCUCCGGAGCCUGGAUCGCAGGUUCGAAUCCUGCCUGGGGUACCA
rnacentral:tRNA from 2 species